CCCUUAGAUGUCCGGGGCUGCACGCGCGCUACACUGAUGUGUCCAGUAAGCACCUAACCUCUUCCGAAAGGAACGGGUAACCUUUGCAAAGCACAUCGUGAUGGGGAUAGAUUAUUGCAAUUAUUAGUCUUGAACGAGGAAUUCCUAGUAAGCACAAGUCAUCAGCUUGUGUUGAUUACGUCCCUGCCCUUUGUACACACCGCCCGUCGCUCCUACCGAUUGAAUGUUCCGGUGAGCUCUUCGGACUGCGCGGUCUGCAGUUUCUGCGUUCCGUGCGGAAAGUUGCGCAAACCUUAACAUUUAGAGGAAGGAGAAGUCGUAACA
rnacentral:rRNA from 1 species